GACGAACGCUGGCGGCGUGCUUAACACAUGCAAGUCGAACGGAAAGGCCCCUUUGGGGGUACUCGAGUGGCGAACGGGUGAGUAACACGUGAGUAACCUGCCCUUGACUUCGGGAUAACUUCAGGAAACUGGGGCUAAUACCGGAUAGGAAUCCUUGCUGCAUGGUGGGGGUUGGAAAGCUUCGGCGGUUUUGGAUGGACUCGCGGCUUAUCAGCUUGUUGGUGGGGUAGUGGCUUACCAAGGCUUUGACGGGUAGCCGGCCUGAGAGGGCGACCGGCCACAUUGGGACUGAGAGACGGCCCAGACUCCGACGGGAGGCAGCAGGGGGGAAGAUUGCACAAGGGGCGGAAGCCUGAUGCAGCAACGCCGCGGGCGGGAUGACGGCCUUCGGGUUGUAAACCGCUUUCAGCAGGGGCGAAGCUUGUGGUGACGGUACCUGCAGAAGAAGCACCGGCUAACUACGUG
rnacentral:rRNA from 1 species